GCUUAAUUAGUUUAAAUAAAAUAAUGAAUUGUGGUUUCAAAGAUGAUUAAUCAUUAAGCA
rnacentral:tRNA from 1 species